UAGCCAUGGAUGUCCUUUUGGUUCUCACCCUAAGAGCACUUUGGGCCUUUGUGAAUGCCAAUAUCUUCAAACUGAAUUCACAGACUUGUAGAACUCAUGAUCUUGAAGUGACCUUAGAAAUGAUUAAGUUAAUCAUUUACUUAUUCCAUAGAGUCAAGAAGAACUCAGGUAUCAAUCCCACAAGAAAUCAAACAAUUAACUCCAAAUUACCACUAAAGAUAAGAGAGAAGCAAAAACACUACAGAAUACUUGAGACUUACAUCAUGCCAGCCUGGCAACGGCAGAAGAUGAAAUGAUUUGAACAAUCUUGAUUGACCCUUUUGGAUCAUGACCUCAAUGGACAACCCAAGAAAGUAAUUGACACAAAUCCCUGAAGAUGUAUUUUGGACCUAACCUCACUUCAAUUACCAGAAGCAUGUGUCCUCUUCUUCCUGAAUUUCCAAAAUCUUCAGUUCUCUUCUAAGCUUGGAAUUCCACUUUAUAAUCAGUUUUAUUAUAAUCUUCUCAUA